rnacentral:lncRNA from 1 species
GUUGAUUGAUGAUUGAUGAUUGGGAAUUUGCAAUAAGCCGUUGGUCACGUGCCGAGUGGCACGCGCUGAUUGAAAAAGUAAUUUUACUUCAAAAUUAUAAUAUCUAUUGAUACCAAACUUUUUAUUUCUUAGUUAUAUACUCAUAUCCUCUUAUAUCCAUGUUCUUUGUGGUCUUAAAACAUCGUUUUAGUGUCCUAGUGCAAAAACUUUCUUCUUAGUGCACUAAGAAGUCCUUUGCGGUACUUCUACACACCGAUCAACCACUGCUUAGUUCUAGUUAUUUAAGGUCCUAGUGUGAAAUAUAACCAAUAGGAAUUGGUCUUUUUACACUUUUACAUAGGCCUACAUGUAUACGUUUUGUCAAGGGUUGGUUCAUUACCGACCGUGCAAGGGCUGUAUAGCCAGUCAAGGUCGUUAAAAACUUCCAUUUGUUGGUUCAUGCAAUAUUGAAAUUAUGAUUACUCAAUGCGCAGUUACUAGUUACUGAAGUUGAUAUUUGCUACUUUUCUUCUUUAUUUCAUAUAAUUGAUUUUUUUAUUUUUUUUCUUCGAAAAAUUUGUGGUG